rnacentral:rRNA from 1 species
UACGUAGGUGACCAGCGUUGUCCGGAUUUACUGGGCGUAAAGAGCGCGCAGGCGGUCGUUCAAGUCGAGUGUGAAAGCCCCCCGGCUCAACUGGGGAGGGUCAUUCGAUACUGAUCGACUGGAAGGCAGGGAGAGGGAAGCGGAAUUCCCGGUGUAGUGGUGAAAUGCGUAGAUAUCGGGAGGAACACCAGUGGCGAAGGCGGCUUCCUGGCCCAAUACUGACACUCAGGUGCGACAGCCGGUGGGGGAGGCAAACAGGG